UGCUGGCGCACGCCCCGCCCCAGCUGGCGCACGCGCACGCCGCGAGGCACCAGCUGGCCGCGCACCGCGACCUCGCUGACGCACUGCGCGCGCAGGCCAGGCACGCACACACUGAUUACCAAAUGACUGAGGAGAUCUGCUUCCCCAAGGCGCUGGAUGUGGACCGAUCUCUGCAGGACCAUCCGAGCAACGGAGGCUGAUCUCCCAAGUGAGGAGAACCGAACUACCGACUGCGCGUCCGGAGCCGGCCAGCUCGGGCCGCGCCGGGGGGACCGACACGGCGUCCUCUCACCUUACGAAAGAACCAAUUGUAUAUUUUGUAAUGUUCACCCUCACAUGUACGUGUGUACGUUACCUCGACACUAACUUAUGUCCGCGAACCUGUUUGUAUUAUAUUCCACACGUCAGAGCGGCGCCGGCUCUCCCUGGAGGCCGGCUUCUAAUGUUGAUGUUGUAAGUUAAUUGUAAAUAACUUGUAUGUUACUUUGUACGUAAAGGGAGGGGCCUCGGGCGCAGGGGGCGUGGCCCAGGCCGCAGAGGGCGGGGUCUCGUUGCGAGUAUUACGCUGGACAAUAUUCUCGUGUAGUUAGAUGUAAAUAGUAACCGCGGCUGUUAUUCCAGUACUAGAGUUAGUAAAACCGGACUCGAGAUAGAGUUUUAUCUAAUCAAUGAAAUGUAAAUACUUUGCUCGUAUAUUUGUUGUUGUAAUCAUUAUUAAAACUAUUGAAUAAUUUUAUUUAAGUUCGUUCCAAUCUGUUUGUAGAUAUAAUAUAUGUUUUUAUUAAGUAUAAAAACUCAGUCUCGAGUUUGUGGUAUCACCAAACCUGCGAGUGUGUUAACACACAGUACGUACCUUUUUAUUGUCAUAAACAGAGCCGAGACGUGACCAGCUGUUUAAUACUAAUUGCUUUUGCUGCGUUUUGUAUAAAAUCAAUGUGCUAAUGUUAGGCAAAGUUUUAUAUUGAAAAUAUACAAAAUAAUUGCAAGUUAUACAAAUGAAAAUUAUAUACAAUUUGAUGUAUAUUUAUUUCUAGAUCUUUUAAGCUUGAAAUAAAAACAUAAAAUCAUGUUAUAAAUGAAAUAACGUAAAAUAAAAAAAUAAAAUGAUACAAUCACGCGAUAACAUAAGAGUUACAAAAGUAGUUAAAUAUAUAAAAAUAUGUUGUAGAAAAGUUUUGCAGUUUGUAUGUGUGUAUGUAUUAAACAGCUCGUAGCGUCAUGUAUUGUAACUUUUUAUAACAUUAAUAUGUAGUGGCGUUGUGUAGUGCACACCACGCGCCACAUGACACCACAUGACACCACAUGACACCAUCCGUAGUCCAGUUUGUCCGCGACCUUGUAUCUGCAUAUUUUAUAUAUUUAUACUAAAUGUUUUACACAAUUAUUAAACAUUUGCAAAUAAAAACUUGUAUUUUGUAUGAGGCAAUGAUUUUGAACGUAAUUUGAAGAGAUUCGUAUCAAUAUAUACAGAGAACAGACAGAAUGUAUGUAUGUGAGAAGUUGUGACGUCACUUGCACCUCUCUCUCUCACUCUCUAUUCUCUCUCUCCCUCUCUCCUCUAGACAAUAUUGUAACAAAAUAGUGGUAUCAAUAAAUACCUUUACACAGA